UCUCUCUUCCAGACAAAAGCAAAUGAUUUAAUUUUGAAUUAAAUUUUGAAAAUCAUUCUGUGCUUGGUAUUCCAGCUAGAUGAUGAGACUCUGUGACUCACAAAGUUUCUUGAGUUUUUCUGURUUUUGUUUCAUUACCUCUCAAACAAAAGUAUUGGAUCGAACAUUUCAGCAGUCUGCAGGUUAAACAAUGAAGAAUAUUCUUCACUCUCAGGCCAUUUUGUGGUUUAACAAAGAUGAAACCUUGUGCAAAGCUGACCCAUGGCAGCUCCUCUCUCCCAUCCCCUCUGCUUGGGGGGCACAUCAUGAGGUAAAAGAAAAGUCAAUCUUGUCUAACCAAAUUCACCUCCCACUAGAAGGAGGAAACAUGUGGGAGGCUUCUGUGUUGCUCAGGUGCUUCAACCGUGAAACUUCGUUUUUCACUAUAACCCCCUUUUUUUCACCCUGCAGUGUCUCUCCUGCCUGGCUGYCCAAUGGAGAUUUAAGGAAAUACGGCACGUACCCUCGAAUUUCACUUUCAGAAACCAGCUGUCAGGUUAUCAGGCUGAGAGAUGAUCCGUUCAAUCUGCUGGGUUUCUGGUGAUGUGCAUGCCAAACAUCACAGGAUCAUCAUGAGCUGGAAUCCAAUGCAUUGAAAGCAAGCUGGAUGARCAGAGGCUCUCAGCAGAAGCAGGGAACAGCCUUCUGUACGUGUCAGCAYGAACUAGAACACUUCCUAGCUUGACCUGCUUCCAGCAGAAUAAACACAGAUGCCUGAAAUGUGAGUUAAAAAUUGUA